rnacentral:lncRNA from 10 species
GUGCCAGGGAUACAUCAAUGAAAAAAGCAGACAAAAGUCCCUGGUCUUAAGGAUCUUACAUUCUAGAGAAAAAGGGACAAUGUACAAUAGGUAAUUAUUUUCCAUAAAGUAUAACGAUGCGAUGAUAACAAAUAUUUAUUGAGCAACUUACCAUAAAAUUACAGUGAAUUAUUUAUAUGCAUUACAUUGUUUAAUCCUCACACAUAUAGAGAAAACUGCAAGGUGUGAACUGUUAUUCUCAUUUUACAG